CUGCUAGUAUGUUUAGUUUAUCUUGGCCGAAGGAUAAAGCACGAAACUGUUCUUAUCACUCGCGUAACAUUCCAAUGGAGGAUGUUGACGGUAUAUGACGGAGUCGGUCGGAGACUUCAAGUGCGGCGGACCUCCAUUAAAUGCAAACUCCGGAGAAGGCAAUGAAUUGGGAACAGGUCUCCAAGUGCGUCGACAUUAUCUUCUCCAAGUCACUAAGACCUGCUGAAAAUGUUAAACUUGAAACGCAGCCAUGACGAAAAUGUAACUAUACAAAAUUAAGGUAUCGAUUCUGCAAGAGUGGGAACACAAAAUUUCACACCCAAUUUGUCGUAUCCUAUCAAAAUCCAAAUCCACAAUGGAAACCGGAUGCGAAUUCUUAUCCUCACUCUGUUUCCGCUCUCGUCCUCUUCCAUCUACUCUCCCGCCGCCAACCAAAUUCGCCUCUGCUCCGAGCUCUCUGUUUCAUUUCUUCAUCCUUCCAUGGAUUCCCUCUUCAUCAACCACUCCAUUUCCCGCCUCAAGCUCUCUUCAAACCUCCCUCUCCUUCCUAAUCCCCUUUCCCAAUAUCAAUCCUCUCUCUUCCUCCCCCACCACAAACCUCGCUACAACUUCACUCUCUCCGCAAUCCAAGACCAAGAAACCACCCGGAACCCGACCCAAUCCGCCGCCGAUGACUACGGCGAAGUCGAGAAAAUCAUCGGGAGCAGAGCUCUGGAAGGCGGCGCCGGAAUGGAGUACCUAAUCCAAUGGAAAGACGGCCACGACCCUUCCUGGGUCCCAUCCGAUUACAUCGCCAAAGACGUCCUCGCCGAAUUCGAGUCCCCUUGGUGGACCGCAGCCAAGAAAUCCGACGAAUCCGCUCUCCGAUCCAUCCUCGAAUCGGAAGAAGCGGACCGCGACGUGGACGCGGUCGACCCCGCCGGCAGGGCGGGACUCCACUUCGUCUCG
rnacentral:lncRNA from 1 species